rnacentral:lncRNA from 1 species
AUUUUCAAAAACUAUCUGAAUAUGUCCCAUCCAGGAAAAACCUCAGAGAAGAGACCAGCCUGGAAACUCAAAUUUGCUGCACAGAAUCUCAAACUCCAGGUUUCACUCGAGUUGGAGCUACUGAAAUUCAAGAAUGAGAAUGAAGCACCACUUUGUUCUGCCCACUGUGGCCCAGAGGAAGCAGAGACAGCCACCUUCAUCACUGUUCACCCAGACUUUACAACCUUCUGCCCUUGCUUCUGGCUGUUUUCCCGCCACUGCCAGCUUAAGAUGGCUGGUUCCUGGCAUGAGAAGCCUGGCUUAGGCCUUAGCAUCCCAGGGCUAAUCUGUCUGGGCUCCAAUGCCCUGUCUGUCUGUCCAUCUGCCCUCUACUCAGCUCCAGGAUGGCCACUGGGAACUCAACAUCCAACACUCUGGGGCCUUUUUGUGAAUGGAGCUUAGGUCUCACUGAAGAGAUGGGGACUAGGCGUGCUGACAUCCCCCAUGGGAAUGCCCUGGUCAGACCCAGGCUUCCUUCCUCCAGGCUGAUGCAGGAUGGCAUGACCAUGUCCACCACACUUCCUCACGGCACUGCCCCGGGCCGAUGGUCCUACUCUGUGCCAGUGUGCCUCCCUUGACACAUAGCUUCAAGCGGAUGAUAUGUCUUGCUUGCAGGAAGAUUAGGAACAUUCACAUUCUUGGAAAAGCAGAGGAUGUGAGGGUUAAAGUUCCUUGAAGUGCAGGCCAGAGAAAGACUUCUGCAUUUCCAGACAUUGUCUCAGAGAACUGUAAUCCUCCAGGGUCUACCUGACUAUAACUGAUGUAGCUCCUUGGAGCAGAUGUGUGUUUGUGUGCAUGUAUAAAUCAACUCCACAUGUCUACUUGCAUUCAAUUCAUUUCCCUGAACCAGCCAACUAUAGCUGACUCUCUUGAGUAUCUACUGUGUACCAUGGACUAUACUAGAUGCUUUACCUGCAGUUCCUUGUUUUAUCUCUACAAUGACUCUAAGGUGGGGAGAGACUGUUAUUGUCCUCAUUUUCUAAAAGAAACUAUAGCACAGGGAGACUCAGUUACUUGUCAAAGAUCAAGAAGUAGUAAGUGGGCAGCAUGACUUCUAACUAAGGCAGCAGUCUGACCACUGAGCCUCAGCUGGGAACCACCAUAGUGUGUCUGUGUGUCUGUGUGCUUACAUGCACACAUGCCCUUUCGCAUAUGGGCUGCCCCAUUUGUGAAGCUGAGAGAGUGCAGAGGAAAAUGUUGGGAGGACCUUCCCCAGGAGGGUUUCUAUGCAGCAAAGGAAGUGGUGUCAGGUAUAUAGAUGAGGUCCCAGAAGCCCACCUGAAAAUUCCAACUGUUAGAAGAAUGGGGUGGGUGUUAGGGAUCUACUGCUUUAAAUCCUCUUCUACUCUGGAAGAGCAGAGCCUUGGAUGGGCAGGAUGAGGCAGAGCCUAAGUUUCCCAGGGAGAGUUCAUGAGUGAGUAGAAUUGAAAACAAUAAGCCGGAUGUUUCCUGACCCCGCCCAUCCUGUGCCGGGCCUUCAUCCUUCAGCCUCAUUGAUGCUUCAUCCUGAAGGUCCAAGUUGCAGAGUCACCCAUGGAGGAAUGGGCUGCUCUCAUAGAACCUCAGCAGGAAUGGAUUUGUUCCUUCCUAGAGAGGAGAGAAUCUUUGCUCUGGCCUUGAAGAGAGACAUUCACCUACAGCAGCUUGUCCUAAAGGUUCUCCAGAGGAGUUGGGAGCCACACCUGGGGACCCUGGGGUGUCUCCACCAGCUCCCUGUCAUCAUCCUUUGCUCCUCAUAUACAGUGACCAUGGGUGGCUCCAGUCUCAGGCUCUCAGCGUGGGUGGCUGCUUUGUAAUAUAGUUUGGGCAGCACUUUGACCUGUGAGGGACCCUUGCUGCCUUUACAAUAAGCAUGUGAGAUAGAAGGGGAGUUCCAACAGUGGGCCAAACUAUAUGUGGCUCCUCUUCCUUGCCACCCUCAAGCAUGUCUCUUGUUCUACAAACCCUGAUAUUGGGCCUUUUGCUGUACAAACCCCUUAAAAUCUCCUCCCAACUGUCCACUAGGUCCAUAGCUACAGGAAAACCCUUAGUCCCUUAGUCAGAGAAGCCCUUGGGCUUUAUGACCAGUUUACCAGGGUCUAAGUCUUCCUUAGCCUCAGGUUGGUGGUGAGCCCUUGGGUCUGUAGGUUCUUGGGUCUGUAUUAGGUUCCCUCUCUCUGGUUUCAUGACAGUGGCUGACUCUACUGAGUGCCUACUGUGUGCCAUGCACUGCACUAAGCACUUUGCAUUUGCUGCCCUUAAUUCCCUCAUAACAGCUCUUAUAGGCACUGUUGCCUUACCCACUUUCCAAAGGGAGAAAUAAAGGCAAGAACAAGCUAAGUUACUUGCCCAAGAUCACAGAGUUCAUGAAUGGUAUGGUUUGGAGCAAGACAAUUAACCUUUCUGGGCCUCAGUUUCCUCACCUGUAAAAUAUGGUUAACGCCAUUGUCUCUCUGGAGUGAGGUUUAAAUGAAGCUGUGUGUACAGCACCUAGCAGAGCCCUGAGCACAUGGUAAGCAUCAAUAACAAGGCCACUUAACAGUAGAGCUAACUGUUAAGUUCAGCUAGAGGAGAGAAAAAUCUAAUAGCUAUAGCAUCAUUCACAAUGGUAAUCGAAUACUGUACAGUAAUACCUCAGUUCACGAAUGCUUCUAUUUACAACCAAUUUGGUUCAAAAACAAGUGUUCAGCAAAAUUUUGCUUCUGUUUGCAAACUCCACAUCAGAUGACAAACACAAUCAUGGCCAUCUUUCCCACACAAGCACAAAUGCAGCCAUCUUUCCCAAGAUCUGUAAUUAUGUCAUUAGCUCCUGAAUAUUUGUCUUUCUUGAGGCUACCAAAAGGCAGAGACUUUAUCAGCCUGGGGCUUGUGCUUGGUGAUAGUUUGCUGAAUGAAUAAGGGACUGCUUUGGGAGUCCCAGCAUUGACCAUCCCCUCCCUGGAAGCCCUUGCUCUCUUCUGCCUUGUGGCUGUUAUCUGUGUAUACUUGUUUUAUUUCCUAUUCAUGGGGAAGCUUUCCAAGUAAGGACAUGGCUGAGUCUUAUCUGGUGCCAUCUUCCCCAUGGGGAAAAAGCUCAGCAUCUAGGAGUGGAGUUGAAUCUCCUGUAGUCUCCCUUGAGGUCUUUCUUCUUCAGUGGGGAAUGGCAAGCACUGGAGGUGGUUACAGACCCCAAGGAUGUGGGUCAUCAAGUGGCAGCAUCAUGCCCUCAGUGCUUGAGAUGGGUAGGGGUCUGGGACCAUGGUGACCAUCUGAAUUUGUAGGUUCCUUCCUCCAUCACACUGGUGAGGACUAUUUCUAAGCCAUGUUCUCCCGUGGCAGGAUGGCAUGGUAAGUGGUUACUGGCAUUGUGGUCCCCCAUUAGCUGAGAAAAUCCUCCCACCGUUAACCUGCUUGGCUCUUUACAAAUCCCCUUUUGCAGACCACCCCUACCAUUGGUAUAUGACCCACCCUGAGUGAAGUAAUUGCUGGACUGAAUUCUAACCCAUCCUUCUACCCCAUGCCUCAAAGGCUAAGUCCUGAAAGAGCCCAUUGCUCUGGGACACAUCUUUCUCUGAAGAUCUUGCCCUCGGGGCAGCCAAAGCUUUGCUCCAGUAGUGCCAGAGAAUGGGAGAGUGAGAGGAUGAGGAGAAUGACAGUGACAAUGAAUUUCCAGGCAGGCCCAGCUCCCAGCUCCUAUCCUGGAAGUCCUGAGCUCGCCAGUGUCCUUUCCAGGAAUGUGAAACCUACCUUUCCAAUUUCCUCUUACACCCCUUCCAGGUUUCCCACUGCUGCCUCUGCAUGACAACGUGGCACGCAUGUAGCCCGUCUUGGGAUCAAGGAACCCUACUGGGUAUGCCAGCUUAAUGAAAUACUUGCAGUUUAUUAGACACAGGCUUCCCUAAGCCCCAAGUGCCUGUGGGUAUUUGAAAGCUGAAGGUAACCUGGAGCUACCACAAAUGUAAUUGCUACAUGUGUCCAUGCAUUCCUCCUGCAAUCUCAAACUCUGGCUCUUAAGCAGCCCUCAAAAUGAACAACAUAAAGUAACUCCUAGUCAGAGAAGGGGGAAAAUGUGGGGUAAUGCUGGGAGGGGCCCCCGAGAACCCCUCAGGGCCUCUAAAAGAAUAUGACAUUCUCAUUACCUCUAGCCACAGAGGGGGCUUCCCCACCCCCAGGAGCUGCUCCAUGAUGCAGAAUUGGUUCAUUAUGAGCCAGGCAGCCAGGAGGCCUUGAAUGUCAAGCUUGCAUGUCAGCCUCUCAUGAUGUAGCUCAAAUAUUUCAAGCCCUGAUUUAGUAUGGCUUGCUCUCAGAGGCAGAGCUAGCAGAGUGUGGUGUCUGGGGCCUCCCUCUAGGUCUGUUCCUUCUCCAGGCCUUUGCUGGAGAGGGUUGUUCUUAGUCUGAGAAGGACUGUGGAGAUACUGCAGGUGACUAGGAGUCUGCAUUCCUGAACCUGGGGGAGGUUGCUCCUAUGGGAUGCCUUCCCAUUUAUCACUCUCCUCAGCCUUGGGUUGGUAAAUCAGGGGUGAGGGACUGAGAUGGAAGCAGCAGACAAAGGCCUCUGGGGAGGUCCCUCCAUGUGGACCACCAUCUGGACAUCACAGAAGGAGACUCUGCUGACGGUGCUCAGGGGGACUUGUUUCAGAUGCCUCAGCGGCAGCCCCUUGACCCACACACAGCUCUUUUGGCUCAGGACCUUGAGACAAAAAGUCAAUAGAGUGCUGCCGUUCUCCAGGUAGGGCUUCAGAGACAGGUGUUGGUGGGAGAAUUGGGGCAGCUACAGCUGGAGGUCGGCAUCCUGCCCCCGCCCAACAAGAAGUGGGCUGGUAUUAUGCUGCCACUGCUGGGGGACAUUGGUGAAAGCAGCUGGGCCCAGAGUGGGGUGGCACAGGUUCACCUGUAGGAUUAUGAGUGUCCUCUCCAUGGUCAAGAUCCUGGGAAAGAUGCAACACAGACAUACCUCUGUGGCUUUCUGAGCCUGAACAGCCUGAUCUCCUUAGUGACCCCUUGGCCACAUCUAGCCAAUCAGAGCCAUAC